CCUCGGAUAUAAAGGACAGAUGCUGGUUCACUAAAGAGAAAGAUGGUGAAACUGUGGAUCUGAGAACAGACUCUGAGUAUUCAAGCCGUGUGAAGCACACAUGUUUUGGUGAUUGGAAGACAUGUUAUCUGAUCAUCAAAGACCUGAGAGAGAGCGACUCAGCUGAGUACAAAUUCACAUUGAUGACAAACAAACCAGGAGAGAAAUAUACUGGUUCACCUGGAGUCACUUUGUCUGUCAAAGGUCUCCAGGUGCAGGUGGGAAGAUUAAAUUCUACCUGGUUGGAGCUGACGUGUCACAGCAGCUGUGUUCUGCCUGGUCGUCAUUUAAACGUCUGGUACAAAAAUGAAGAGAGCAUCAAGAGAGGAUCUUCUCUUCUAGUCUCCUAUGGUUCUACAGACAGAUAUUCCUGUUAUUUAAGAGGAACUACUGGUCAACGUUCUCCUGCAGUGUAUGGUCCACAGCG